rnacentral:rRNA from 1 species
UACGUAGGGGGCGAGCGUUGUCCGGAUUCAUUGGGCGUAAAGCGCGCGUAGGCGGCUCGACAAGUCGGCCGUGAAAUCUCCAGGCUCAACCUGGAGGGGUCGGGCGAGACUGUCGGGCUCGAGGUGGGCAGAGGGCAGUGGAAUUCCGGGUGUAGUGGUGGAAUGCGUAGAGAUCCGGAGGAACACCAGUGGCGAAGGCGGCUGCCUGGGCCUGGCCUGACGCUGAGGCGCGAAAGCGUGGGGAGCGAUCCGG